rnacentral:rRNA from 1 species
GACGAACGCUGGCGGCGUGCUUAACACAUGCAAGUCGAACGGAAAGGCCCAGCUUGCUGGGUGCUCGAGUGGCGAACGGGUGAGUAACACGUGGGUGAUCUGCCCCUAACUUCGGGAUAAGCUUGGGAAACUGGGUCUAAUACCGGAUAGGACAAUCGUUUAGUGUCGGUUGUGGAAAGUUUUUUCGGUUAGGGAUAAGCCCGCGGCCUAUCAGCUUGUUGGUGGGGUAAUGGCCUACCAAGGCGUCGACGGGUAGCCGGCCUGAGAGGGUGGACGGCCACAUUGGGACUGAGAUACGGCCCAGACUCCUACGGGAGGCAGCAGUGGGGAAUAUUGCACAAUGGGCGCAAGCCUGAUGCAGCGACGCCGCGUGGGGGAUGACGGCCUUCGGGUUGUAAACCUCUUUCGACAGGGACGAAGCUUUGGUGACGGUACCUGUAUAAGAAGCACCGGCUAACUACGUG